rnacentral:lncRNA from 1 species
CCGUCGCUGAAACACCAUGUCCGUGAGUCAGACUCGAGAUAUGUCAGGAACGCGUCGUGAGUAACUAGCGGUGUAUCGGAAGAGAGAGAAAGGGGAAGAAGAGAGAUGCUGGAGAAUCUAGUCGAGUCGUUGUCCGCAAGAAAUCCUCCUCAUCCCCCUCAUUCUCCGACCAUUCUCGGAGUCGGAAUCGCAAUCGUUUGUAGUAAACUCAUGUGUAAACUUGAUGUACGCGAAAAUCUUUUUUAUACGACUUAAAUCGUUUUGAGAAGAACGUUGUUAUCUUUGUUGGAGAUAAUAACGAGACAAAAGCAAAAUGCGCACUCGACGUCGGGUUUGGAAUGCAAUUUCAUCCCGUAUUUCACACCGCGUUCAUUGUAUUAAUCAUGUUACGUCAGUUUCCUGGCGAAAUUGUGCAACAAAAACAACAUAAUGUUCUAUAACUCCAACAUCGUGAUUAUAUGCUAACGAGAUAAUACAACUAUGUGGAACAGAAAGACGACAAGAUCACAAGAUCUCUCACCUCGCGUUAACAGCUAAAUGAUGUGCGAGAUUAAAACAAAGAAAACAUAUAAAUGUCUAAAAAUUUUACACUCACAAGGAAACAAAUCAACUAUUCCCCCCCCUGAUUUAGUCCACGAAGAAUUGCGAAAAAUGUAAGGCGCCAUCGCUCGUUCAUGAAAUUUAUGCUAAAAAGAAUCCUUUCUGAUCUUUCGCCUUUUUCUGGCGCACAACGCUUGCUGAUAUUGACUGAGUGAACCGACCGAUCGUUAUUUUAAUGAGGGAUGCAGAGUAGGAGGAAAGCGUGAGAAACUGGCGGGGAAGUCACGGUACAGUGAAUACCGAACCUGCGAGAAUCGUCGAACGAGAGAAUAACUUGUCUAGAUGAAUUAUUUACGAUAUCCGUGUGGUUAUAUAGUUGGGAUUAGUCUUAUCUCUGUUUCUUGCACCUCACAAGUGACUCACAAUUUCAUUCAAGCUUCAAUACCACGGGAGUUCUGUGCCAAAUCCAAGAAUUUCGAACAAUUGCGUGGCGUAAAUUGAUUUGAUUACGCGUAAAUUUUUGACAUUUUGUGUAAAACGGUGGGCGGCGAGUAAAUAUAUUUUAUCAAUCUUAUUGAGAAAUCUGGAAACCCCGCCGUUUAUUUUGCUUUAAGAACGCUACUUGGGAGACAAAGCGGUUCUUAUUGUUUAACGUGAAAUCGUCAUUGGUGAAUCAGCGAUGCGAAAGCAUAAAAGAAGAAUUUCGCUAAAUAAGCAUGAGUAAUGUAUAUCGAAUGUAAAAUAUAUAGUGUUCUACAUUUAAGGCUCGAUUCUCUCUUUACACAAAAAUUAUGCAGCCUAUACCGCAAUCUGUACAGCCUACAAAACUGAUAUUGCUAGACGAAAUAUGAAGAUGAAGAAACAACAAGUUGAGUUUAUAGAAUUAGGCUAAAUAUCUAAUGUGAGUACAAAAAGUAUUAAUUUGUUCAUAUAUGUGCAGAAAUAUAUGUAUAAAUGUAUGUAUGUAUAUAUACAUAAAUGUAUGUACGUUUAGUAUAUGCAAAUGCUCUCGUUGGAGUUCACUCGUCAGUUCACUUUAAAGAUACAACGCUUUAACAGCGGCACAGAUGAUAGUAGCAUCGACAGAUCAUUUUAUUGAUCGGUCGAACGGUAUCGUUCACGCACGUGAUUCAUGAUGCAUGUGCCAUAUGUGUCAUGAACGAUAGCUAUUAUGUUUAAAAAAGCUUUUAAUGUACGAUAAUCAUAUUAACUGUUAUAUAUUAACUGUUAUGAUAAUUGCUAACUGGAACAUCGCCAAAUGUAUUUCUUUUUGUCUCUUUUUAAUAACAUUUGUUUAUAUUUAAAUAUCAGUAUCGCGGAAAGUGAAAAGUGUCAUUUAGUGAAAAAGAAAACUACAUUCGGCAGAUUCAGUUCAAGAUCUUGAUUAUGCAACAAACUGUAAUAUUAUCUGUCACCAUACUAGCAAAAAAAGA